rnacentral:rRNA from 1 species
UACGUAGGUGGCAAGCGUUGUCCGGAAUUAUUGGGCGUAAAGCGCGCGCAGGUGGUUUCUUAAGUCUGAUGUGAAAGCCCACGGCUCAACCGUGGAGGGUCAUUGGAAACUGGGGAACUUGAGUGCAGGAGAGAAGAGUGGGAUUCCACGUGUAGCGGUGAAAAUGCGUAGAGAUGUGGAGGAACACCAGUGGCGAAGGCGACUCUUUGGCCUGUAACUGACACUGAGGCGCGAAAGCGUGGGGAGC